AUUUAUUACAUGAGCUCAUUGAGCUAUCCAGUGUGUCCCCCUCCCAAAAAGAAAAAAAAAAAAAAGGAAGAAGAAGAAGAAGCUAGAGUCCAUGGAAGAAACCAACGUGAGUUUGAAACUUAUGAUAGACAGAGAGAGUGCUUUUUGUUGAAGCGGGCAAGGAAUUCAUCGAUUUUCUCUUUCAAAUUCUGGCCCUACCCGUCGGAACUUUCAUUCCACUUUUCGAAAAGCAAGGAAUGCAGGGCAGCUUCGGGAAUAUUUUCGAGAGCAUUGAAAAUUUAGGUAGUAUUUACCUUCAACCAAGCGUGAACAAAGAGAUUCUCCUGAAGCCCAAAGUCCGCAUCUCUGGCGGUGGUGGUUCUGGGCUCCCUCCCCUAUUGCAAAACGUUGAAUCAUCACAAUCAUCAUCAUCUUCGAGAUCCACGAAAUUCUAAAAUGUCAGCAGUAGCUGUGACCCAUAUGUAGCUUAUGACAUUAGAGCAAUCUGUCCUUCGUGUUCCCGGGUUAUGAACUGCGAGCAACAUAUGGUAGACCGACCAAGUCCAAGCGCAACGAAAACGAGUUCCUCAUGUACUGAGAGAGGGUACGUGAAAGGGCUGGUUACAUACAUGGUGAUGGAUGAUCUAGAGGUGAAACUUAUGUCCACCAUCUCUAGUAUCACUCUGCUAAUUAACAAGUUUAAUGUCAAGGGAAUAAGGGCUCUUGAGGAGAAGGUGGUCAAUUUUGGCAUGGAUGAGAACUGAUUGUCAUAGCGUUCUUGGACUCUCAAGCAGGCCUGAAAAUGCGCUAGGCAAAAAGGCACCAGUAAAAAUCAUUUCGACGAUGGAGUCAAAAUCAUAAGAAAUUCGGAAAUUAAGCAUCAUGUGUACUUUCUUCUUACUUCUAUGACAUCAUGUAACGCCCUAGCCCAAGUAAAAAAAAACGUGGUCAGAUUUUUGACUCACGUGAGCCCCACCCACCUACCCCUUAAUUCCCCACCACUCAUUUUCUCUCAAAAUUUCUCCCUUUUGGCCUGCUGGCUCUCCUCUCUUCUCACUUUGCUCUCUUUUUCUUUUUCAUUUUGUCUCAAACACCCACGAUCCUCUCUCACACUCCCUCACUCUCCCACCGGUGCAUCACUCCACCGCCUCCAUCAUUAUCUUCCGGCGAAAAAGCUCCAUAAAAACCUCUUAAGCUCCUACAUCUCAUCUUAUUUAAGGUUCUAACUAAUCUCCUUUGGAGUUUUGGAACUAAGCUUCUUGCGGGUUGCAAGAGUGGGCAACAAUCUUUUGAGACAGCUUUUUGGUGGCUAACAGUAGUUAGACUAACUAUUGAUGUAGGCUGAACUUUUGUAAUGGGUUAUUAGAUGGUGUACAUCUUAGAAUAGGCUUGACUUAUUCUUUUGUAUAUUAUAGUGGUUGUUACGUUAUUUCCACUGAUGGGACAAGCUAAUGGUAUGUAAUUAAUUAUUCAGACUUCUAUUCUUUUGUGGCCAAUGGUCCUUGUAAUUAUUGCUUAGAGCUCUGAUUUACUUUGAGAGUAUAUUCAAUGAAAUUAUUAUGAUAAUUUUUUAUGUUAGUACUU